UUUUCCUAAACUACUUAGUGUUAUGAGUGACCUUACGUAUAUCCCAACUUUGCCUGUUUAAAGAUGACUGGGAAAUCCAGAGUUCAGUGAAUUGAAAGUUUUUGCUUCAGUUGACAACUUGGAUGUUAAAGCAUCUUGAAAUGUCUUCCAUUUGCAAAGGAAGUUUCACUUUGAUGUAUGUAAUUUUAACUAACAAACUUCAAACUUA
rnacentral:lncRNA from 1 species